CUGCGACAUCACCACCACCCCACCGCCUCUCCGUUCUUCUUCCUCCUUUCAUCAAUGCAGCUUUCUUAAAAGAUUCCCUCUCUCUCUGGUGCUGCAAAGUUAGGGUUUCCUAUGACCAGCAUUUCAUAGUGGGAACUGUAGUGGUGUGGGUCAAUAGAAUCUUUUGAUCAAAGAAACAAUAGUGGAGUAUUUGGUUCUUCAGCAUAUACACUAUCACAAAGUAUUGGUAGAGUUUAAGACUCCCAGAAAAGCUA